rnacentral:rRNA from 1 species
CCUACGGGAGGCAGCAGUGAGGAAUAUUGGUCAAUGGGCGCGAGCCUGAACCAGCCAAGUCGCGUGAGGGAUGACUGCCCUACGGGUUGUAAACUUCUUUUAUAAGGGAGUAAAGUGCGGCACGUGUGCCUUUUUGUAUAUACUUUAUGAAUAAGGAUCGGCUAACUCCGUGCCAGCAGCCGCGGUAAUACGGAGGAUCCGAGCGUUAUCCGGAUUUAUUGGGUUUAAAGGGGGCGUAGACGGGUUGUUAAGUCAGUUGUGAAAGUUUGCGGCUCAACCGUAAAAUCGCAAUUGAUACUGGCAUUCUUGAGUACAUGUGAGGUAUGCGGAAUGCGUGGUGUAGCGGUGAAAUGCUUAGAUAUCACGCAGAACUCCGAUUGCGAAGGCAGCUUACUAAACUGCCACUGACGCUGAUGCUCGAAAGUGUGGGGAUCAAACAGGAUUAGAUAUCCGAGUAGUC